rnacentral:rRNA from 1 species
AGUUUUGAGCUAAAUAUAUUUAUAAUAUUAGUUAUUUAUGAAGGUGUUGUAAAAUCUUUAUUUAAAAUUAUAUUUAGGGGUGACAGGCCUUUCAAAAACUAAGAUAUCUUGAAUCUAAUUAAAAGUAUGUAGUACAAUUAACACAACUAUUAAGUGAUUAGGCUUUAUAGAAUUAUUAACUUAUAAGAUUUUAUUUACUAUAAUUUAAUAAUUAAGUACAUAAAUAUAUUAAUAUUCAUAUAUUAUAGUUUAUAAAAGAGUAAUUAGAUAGAUUUAAGUUCAUAUUUCUUAUAAUAAUGUUAAUAUUAGUAUUAAGUUUAUAUUUAUAUGAUGAACUCGGCAAAAAUACUUCUCAACUGUUUAUCAAAAACAUAACUAUGUGAAUGAAUACAUAGCGGUUUCUGCUCAA